CCUACGGGAGGCAGCAGUGGGGAAUAUUGCGCAAUGGGCGAAAGCCUGACGCAGCGACGCCGCGUGAGGGAUGAAGGUCUUCGGAUCGUAAACCUCUGUCAGCAGGGAAGAACGGUCACUGUGCUAAUCAGCAGUGAAUUGACGGUACCUGCAAAGGAAGCACCGGCUAACUCCGUGCCAGCAGCCGCGGUAAUACGGAGGGUGCGAGCGUUAAUCGGAAUUACUGGGCGUAAAGCGCUCGUAGGCGGUAUGUCAAGUCAAGGGUGAAAUCCCCGCGCUCAACGUGGGAACUGCCUUUGAAACUGGCAAACUGGAGUGUGGGAGAGGAUAGUGGAAUUGCAGGUGUAGGGGUGAAAGCCGUAGAUAUCUGGAGGAACAUCAGUGGCGAAGGCGACUAUCUGGCACAUAACUGACGCUGAGGAGCGAAAGCGUGGGUAGCAAACAGGAUUAGAUACCCGGGUAGUC
rnacentral:rRNA from 1 species